UGAACGCUGGCGGCGUGCCUAAUACAUGCAAGUCGAGCGAACGGACGAGAAGCUUGCUUCUCUGAUGUUAGCGGCGGACGGGUGAGUAACACGUGGAUAACCUACCUAUAAGACUGGGAUAACUUCGGGAAACCGGAGCUAAUACCGGAUAAUAUUUUGAACCGCAUGGUUCAAAAGUGAAAGACGGUCUUGCUGUCACUUAUAGAUGGAUCCGCGCUGCAUUAGCUAGUUGGUAAGGUAACGGCUUACCAAGGCAACGAUGCAUAGCCGACCUGAGAGGGUGAUCGGCCACACUGGAACUGAGACACGGUCCAUACUCCUACGGGAGGCAGCAGUAGGGAAUCUUCCGCAAUGGGCGAAAGCCUGUCGGAGCAACGCCGCGUGAGUGAUGAAGGUCUUCGGAUCGUAAAACUCUGUUAUUAGGGAAGAACAUAUGUGUAAGUAACUGUGCACAUCUUGACGGUACCUAAUCAGAAAGCCACGGCUAACUACGUG
rnacentral:rRNA from 1 species